rnacentral:lncRNA from 1 species
GAUGAUUUAUGAAAAAAAAUAAAAGACCAAGAGAAGACCACUAGUUAAGAGAGAGCCGAGUAAAGAAAAAGAAAAAGAACAGUCCGUCAUUUGUUAUGAAUGUAAGAAGCCAGGCCACUUUAGAUCGGACUGUCCCCAACUCAAGAAGGGUCAGAAGAAGUUUAAGAAGAAAAAGAUAAUAAUGGCUACAUAAAGCGAUAGUGAUGACUCUACCUC